rfam:Sporanaerobacter sp. PP17-6a isolate PP176A genome assembly, contig: PP17-6a_contig37
AAAAUUAAGCAGAAGUAUCCGCUUCUCACCUUAUAGCUGGGGCUCAUAAGGUUAAAUAUUUUAGAUAGUUAUUGGUUUGACAAAUUAUUUUUGUCUGAUUGUUGGAAAAAGAAGCGGGUAUUUUUGCCCGCUUUUUAUUUUUUAU